rnacentral:lncRNA from 1 species
CAUGAUGUCACUUUAUCAUGUGAAGGGCGAAUCAAAGCAUAACAUCAUCUACGUUUGUGAAACUGAAGCCUCCCGUUUUUACGUGAAUAUUAAAUAAAUAAAUGAAAAUAAGUAACAAUCGUUAGCAACGGAAGCUUGAAAUAACAUAUAAGAAGAAAAUAUUUCAAAAUCAUUAUUACAUUUCUUGUAGUAAAUUAUUUACGAAUGACCAUCUAUUGUAUAUGGUAUUAUAUACUAUAAUUUGAGAACAUCUGUAACAUUCAUUCACUUAAGAAUAUUCCUAAUAACACUUCAGUAUAUAGCAGGUUCUCAUUGAAAUUGAAAUUGAAAUAAGUUUAUUGAGGUAAAAUACACACAAAGGGAUGAGGUAGCUCAAGCUAUUCUCACCCCGUUCAGUACAUCGUGUUAAUACAUACAUAUACACACAUCACAAACAAUAAACAUAUUACCAAACAUUCUGAGAGAUAAACAUAUACAAUUCCUUGGUUCUCAUUCUCCGUGUCAAGGUAUCGGAAGCUCUGGGUGUUAUAUGUGGAUAUUGAUGCAUGUAAUCAUGUAUAUAUGUACACUCUUUAGCUGUUUUUUAUGUAAUGUAUGAGACUCCGGGGGCGUGUGUGCUUGCUUUCCUGUGUGUGCACUGACGCGAGUUGCGGACUUGCCUUGCGUGUGUACUAAUGUAUGUGCGUGCUUGCUUUCUUGCGUUCACGAAUACGUGCUUGUUUUGCUCAGUGUAAGAAUGCGAAUGCAGACUUGUGUGUGUACUUGACUUUCGUGUGCAUGCAUGCUUUCUGGGUGUACGCAAGCAUGUGCGUGUUUGCCUGCCGUGUGCACGCACUUGUGUGAGUUACAUAAGUGAGUGCGUCAUUGCGUUCCUGUGUGUGUGUGUGUACGGCCGGAAGCGAAUGCUUGCAUUCCACGUUUACGAACGCGUUUGCGUUCUGGUCUUGCUCCCUGUGCGAACAAAUGUGCAUGCAUGCAUGUGUGUGUGAAAGGGAGGGGUGUCGACCUCCCUCGCAACCCCCAUCAAACGCUUACCCCAUUCCCUACGCCCCAUACCCCCUCUAACUCCCCCACCUCCACCCCACUCCAACCAGGCCACUUUCCCUUAAAACAAAAACGCAGACGACAUCAAAGGAGGAAACAAAAAUGGCGGAAAUGCUUAGGCAGACACGACAAUCCCAACAAAGUAAAAAUAAUAUUUUAACUGGAAGGCUGAAGGAAUAUGUCAGAAGCCGAGGACAUCAUACCCAAAAAAAGAAGAAAUACAAUUGGAACAGAAAUCUAUGAGAAAGAUAAUGACGAAUACAAUUUUUUCACAUAUGUGAAAUCAAAAUGAAAAACUUCCACCAGUAUUAGACAUAUACCUACAAGAGAAGGUUCAUACGCGGAGAACGACAAGGAAAUUAGUGAAAUCCUAAAACAGCAAACAGUAUGAGGCCGUGUUUAGCGUCCCAAUAAACAUCAUGAAAGUUGUAAAUCAGGACAGCUUCUUUAUGAACAAUAUUCAAAAUCCUGACACAGUAAAUGAUAUUAACACGAGCACGGUAGACUUUGAAAGGAUUAACAACCCCUAUUCACCCAGCUCCUGGCCCUAACUUCUGGAAUACCAUGUUUAUAAAGAAUUAUAAAGCACCAGUAGCACGAGUACUCAGUGAUGAAUAGAGAAAAGGCUUGGAUAUAGGUGAUAUACUCGAAGCACUCAAAUCAAUAGGGAGGUAGCAAAGCAUUGGCUAAAAUCAAUAGACCGCUCAUGGUAACAUCACACAUAAUACUUGAAGCCAGGACAAUUUUAAAAUGUAUUAUGAAAACCUUCAAAUCCAGAGAUUUCACCAGAUGUGCUGCUCUGUACUCACUUUCCCAUUCAGAGUAGAAGAGAUCUUUGAAAUAGAGGGAAUAUAGAAAACAUAUACAUCUCGCAUAGACAAGAUAUAGCAUAUAAGUUGCUAAAGUUGCCUCAAAGCUUUCAAAAUGAACUCUCUAGAAAGGAGACGAGGGAGGUAUCCCAUAAUAUAUACAUGGCAGAUACUGGAAGGCCAAGUUCUGAACAUACACAGUAAAAUAUCAACAUACUGGACCGAGGGAUAUGGUAGGAAAUGCAAAAUAGAACCAGUGAGCAAAGAUGUCAUAGGCAUAACCAGAGAACACUUUUGGAAUGUGUAAGGUUCACGGUUAUUCAACACCCCCCCCCCCCAGAAAGCAUACGAAAUAUUGCCGGAACAAAGGGGUAUUUUUCAAGAAAUGCUUGACCAACCAGGUUGCAGCGGAUACGUGAGCCUGCGAGCCGGUCUACGCAACAUUCUGUUAGACCAAGUUAAGCCUGGCCCCAAGCCAGGCUUAGGGAGUAGAUGAAGUCCCAGAACCCCCUCCAAGUGUGAUCCCUCCCCCACCCCCCAUCCGUACAGCUUUAAUCCAUCUCCACCCAACACCCAUCAAAAUUCCUUACCCCAUUCCCCCCUACCUUUGUAACCCCCACUAACCCAUACACCCCAUCUCCACGCCUCCCUUCAAAUACCGUCCCUGGAUAAAUAACACCGCAAUUCGACGAUCACUCGGGCUAACACUAAACAUUAUUUCCCCACAAUUUUCAACACUUUUGAUACUGGUUCCAUUGCUGGUAUGUUGACACCGCUGUAGACAGCUGUAGAAUGACAAAGGUUCCAUUGCUGGUAUGUUGACACCGCUGCAGACAACUGCAGAAUGACAAAGGUUCCCUUGCUGGUAUGUUGUCACCGAUACAACAACUCCGAAAUGACAGAGGUCGGUAGGCAAAAACAAAACAAAAGACUACACACAAGUACCUUUAAAUCGGCAUUAAUGUUCACAAAUUCUGAUCUCAUGUGUCAUGCAUUACUUUAUACUCUAAGUACAUUUGUAUACUGAUUUUCAAUAUUUUUUGUUGAUAUACAUGUUCGAGAUCCUAGUGCAAUUUUUCGUGUAGAGUAUGCAUAUUUUUAUCAUUGUGUGUGUUGAUUAUAUUUAUGUGUCGAUUCUCUUUAUUUGUAUGGAUAUAAAUAAUAAAUAAUAAAUACGU